rnacentral:rRNA from 1 species
AGCAGCCGCGGUAAUUCCAGCUCCAAUAGCGUAUAUUAAAGUUGUUGCAGUUAAAAAGCUCGUAGUUGAAUUUCGGGGUCAGUAGGCUGGUCGUGCCACAGGUAUGUACUGGUCUUACUGAUUCCUCCUUCCUGAUGAACCGUAAUGCCAUUAAUUUGGUGUUGCGGGGAAUCUGGACUGUUACUUUGAAAAAAUUAGAGUGUUUAAAGCAGGCUAACGCUUGAAUACAUUAGCAUGGAAUAAUGAAAUAGGACGAUCGAUCCUAUUUUGUUGGUUUCUAGGAUUGACGUAAUGAUUAAUAGGGAUAGUUGGGGGCAUUAGUAUUCAAUUGUCAGAGGUGAAAUUCUUGGAUUUAUUGAAGACUAACUACUGCGAAAGCAUUUGCCAAGGAUGUUUUCAUUAAUCAAGAACGAAAGUUAGGGGAUCGAAGACGAUCAGAUACCGUCGUAG